AGCCAGCCCCCCUGUCCCAUACAAGGCAAACCGCAUCCCUGACCUGGCAAAGGAGAAUGGCUCGGGAAGGAGCGACUGGGUCGUUCCCGGGCUGGGAGCCUGCUAGUCCCGGUGCAUGAUCCCAGGAUAAUUCCUUUGCCUCCGAGCUUGGCGACAUCGGAGAUGGUGCAGCAGCUGGCAUCCACCCCGACGGCUGCAGGAGCUGGGCAGUCGGACAAAGGAGGUACCUGGGGUGUGGACUGGCUACAGAGCAAUGACUCUCCCUGCUGGACCCUAUGGUCCCCCCGCCCCCAACCCCCUUGGUUCUACCUCCUGACUUCGUCUGGUGCCAGCUUCUGGCGCUCACCCAGCGCGUGCUCCACAGCCUCGGACUCACGCCUAGGGCGGCUUCCUGGUAGUGGGGGGCGGGGUGGCCCCCUCUGCCCUCAUUCAAACCCCACCUCCCUCUCCUGGUGCCUGCCCAUCCUCCUCUCCCUGGCCACCGGCGCCCUCUGGCGGUACAACCUACUCUCCGUGGAGACCAGCAACAUCAGCCUCACUCCAUGAGUCUGCUGGGCGCAGGUGGAUCUUCUCCACUUCACUCUCACCCCUACUCCGAGCUCCUGUGGGGCGGGGAGCCGGUCACAUGGGGAAGGGGGUGGACACUGCAGAAGGUCUUCAGGUGAGUAAGGAACCCCUUGAGGAAGAUUCUCUGAGUAAGGAUGGCACAGCUAAGAAGCCUCCUGGGCCAGCCUACUUUCUUCCUUUACCCCAGCCCAGGCAGAAGUUUGACCCAGGGCCUUGACCCCAUCCAUGCCAGACCCCCAGCUACCCUGUCCAGGGCUGUCCAGAGUGUGGGGGUGGGUCAGUGGGCUUCCUGCUCCCUUUGACCCACAGACUGUGGCUGAUGCCUCUGGUAACCUGCUCCAUGGUAGAUGGGGUUCAGCUGGGUGGGCCCUGGAUCACAUUCACUCAAUCCCCUGCCCACUUCCCUCCAUACCUGGUGCUGAUCCACUGCAAAUAGGACAUCAUGUGUUCCCGGGUUAACAUAGAGUCCCACUUUAGCAUUCACCACCUCUCAGAUCCCUGGGACACUACCUCUGCCCCCUCCCCACCAUGUAUUGAACAUCUCCUGUGCGCUGUUAAUGUUAGCUCCAUGAGGAGAGGGAGGUUUUGUUUGUGGUAUAUACGGUAUUGUCCCUAGCACUGGGGACUGGGCCUGGUAGGCGGUCGAUAAAUGUUAGUUACAAAAUGAAUGAAUGAAUGUAUGAAUGAAUGGAUGUUCCUGGUGCUCAUCCCAAUAUUUAAACCCCAGCAACUGUCCCUUGUGACAGCCUCAUGUGACUACCUUCCACACACCUGACUAAUUACCCUGCCUUUGCCUCCGCCCUACUCUUCCCGGCCCUGUCGGGGCAUGCAGGAAGCAGCCGAUCAAUGAUUCUCAUCAAUGAUGUUUCUAUCUCUCUCUUCCUCUCCCUUCCUCUCAGUAAAAAUAUAUUCGAAAAGAAAUGCACAAUGCUACUGUGAUUAACAAGAUGGUUGAUAUUAAUAGUCUAGGAGUUUUUAAAAAGUAAAUGUUUUAUAGCUUGAGCUGUGUGGCAAUUACAUGGUGCACAUGUAUGUAAAAAUUCAUUGAGCUGUCUAUUAAUAUUUGUGUAUUUUACUUUAAUAUCUCAACUUAAAAGUUUUAAAAAGU